AAUUUGGAUUAAUACCCCAUAGUAUAGUUGAAUGGCAUCAUUUGACUAUUAAAGUUCCAACGGUAUAAGAUGAGCAUGCGUCCCAUUAGCUAGUUGGUGUGGUAACGGCACACCAAGGCAACGAUGGGUAGGGGUCCUGAGAGGGAGAUCCCCCACACUGGUACUGAGACACGGACCAGACUCCUACGGGAGGCAGCAGUGAGGAAUAUUGGUCAAUGGGCGCAAGCCUGAACCAGCCAUGCCGCGUGCAGGAUGACGGUCCUAUGGAUUGUAAACUGCUUUUGUACAGGAAGAAACACUCCCUCGUGAGGGAGCUUGACGGUACUGUAAGAAUAAGGAUCGGCUAACUCCGUGCCAGCAGCCGCGGUAACACGGAGGAUCCAAGCGUUAUCCGGAAUCAUUGGGUUUAAAGGGUCCGUAGGCGGUUUUAUAAGUCAGUGGUGAAAUCUGGUCGCUCAACGAUCAAACGGCCAUUGAUACUGUAAGACUUGAAUUACUUGGAAGUAACUAGAAUAUGUAGUGUAGCGGUGAAAUGCUUAGAGAUUACAUGGAAUACCAAUUGCGAAGGCAGGUUACUACAAGUGGGUUGACGCUGAUGGACGAAAGCGUGGGGAGCGAACAGGAUUAGAUACCCUGGUAGUCCACGCCGUAAACGAUGGAUACUAGCUGUUCGGUGCAAACUGAGUGGCUAAGCGAAAGUGAUAGGUAUCCCACCUGGGGAGUACGCUCGCAAGAGUGAAACUCAA
rnacentral:rRNA from 1 species